UUAUUAUAAAUAAUUAUCAUUCAUUAUUAUUAUAAAUAUAUAUUUUUUUAAAGCAUGUUUUUUUCUUAUAUAUAUAUAUAUAUAUUUUAAGACAGUCUUUUAUAUAUAUAUAUAUAUAUGUUAAUUAUUAUAUAUGUAAAUAUUUUUUUUCUGAAUCAGUUUUCUGCUGCUUCUACCCUCAUAAAAUUGUUUUUUUCAAUUAUUAUAUAUAGAUGUAAAUAUAUACAUAUAUAUUUUUUUUUAAAGCAGCUUUCUAUUGCUUCCACUCGUGAAAAUCAAAUUUUCACAAAUUGGUCCCUCCAAACCACCAAGGCUGCCACUGCCGGAUGUAGUAAUCGUGCUGCUGCAGUAAUGUCUUCUUCUUCCACCUCUCAUUUCGCUUCUUAUUUUCUAGAUCAGAACCUAUUUAGAGAACGAGAGACCUGCAGGUUCCCAUCUUGAUCUCACGUGGAUUAAAGCAGAACCCGAGCAGAGCUUUCAGGAGGUAGCUCUUUCCGGCUGGUUGGCUGAGGCAAACUGUAACGGCCCCGGAAAUUUAAAAUGAAAUAUGUGUAUUAAAAAUGUCAAAUGCGGAAGCGAAAUAAAAAUUUCGAUUAACAUCCCUUACACUAAAACAAAAAACGUGCUUAAAAUAUAAAAGAACAAACUAACUAAAAGAGAAACUCGAAAGUAAAAGUUAUAAAUAUAACUACGGAGUCUUUAGGCGUCCUCUUCACCGUCUUCCUGCGGAACGGGCUCGGGAACAAUGUCUUUCUGAUCUGAAAUGAUUAAAUAAGGAAUGAGCUACACCAGUCCAGUAAAGAGAUCACACUAUCUCACCGUCACGGAGGUAAAGGUGGGUAGAAAACACAAAAAGACCAAUGGAGCAUAAUUUACAACAAAUUCUUUUAUCAAUAAUAAAAUCCUUUACUAUCCACUUAGCUCGGUGAAAUUCAUAAAACAAUAUACGAAAACAAUAACAUUAUCAUCAUCAUGAAAUCAUAUGAGCUGUAUAACAUAAUACUUAUCACGCCUUUUGCAAUUCAAUCAUUACACAACAUAUUUUUUUUCAUUUACCAGCCUACUAGUAUCCAUGGGGAUCCAUAGGGGUCCCGCUACUCGUGAACCCUUAACACUUGUAAUCAGAUUCCAGGGCCGUCUCCAUACCCCGUCCGGUAUGAGAGACCACAGUCCCGGUAGGGUUCCCUACGGACCCGGUCCGUCCACCAUCUCCCAGGAUAUCUAGUCAGGCUGACCACAUUAUACAAUUAUCAAUUUACAUAACCUUUCAUCCCUUUUUUUCCUCAGUCAGCAUCAUCAAAUCACACACAAACAUGCAACCGGUAGUUCACGCCAACAAGACAACACACAACAUCGAGUUCUCAGUCAUUCAGUCUAUAAUCAAUGAAACAGUGAUACAUGCACACGAAACUAUGAAAUAAAAACAUCAGACAUCAUACUGCAUUUAAAACUGUAAAAUAGAACAAACACAACUGACCGACAAAUACACCAGACUCGGGCUCUAUUAGCAACCUCAACAAUUUCACACAGCUAUUGAUUCAUGAAAUACCAUUUUAUCAUUUAUUGCACUUUAAUACCGUGAUAGGAAAUAGGGUGAGAAAUUCUUACUUGUUUUGGGGUCCGAAUACGGCUCUAAAAUGCGCCUACAGGUUGUCCUUAAUUUUUCCUGAAUUUUUCCCGGGGAACUGAAACGCACUACUGGUACCUGCACGUGUCCCAAAAAUCCCAAAUUAGACCCAGGGCCCUUUUCGGCCAAUAUCGCAAUUCCGGCACGGCGGCUCUGCCGUGCUCCGGCGACGGCGCCGUCGCUUGCGGUGGCGAUUCGCCUCGGAUUGGCCGUUUUCGGCCACACUUGCAUCGGUCCCUGCGAUAAAACAACCCUAGGGCCCUCGGGGGGCCAAAAAAUUACGAAAAACCGAAGCUUACCAACGGCGGUGCUCUCGGGUGUGGCGGCUCUCUGGCGAGGUUCG
rnacentral:lncRNA from 1 species